CUGGAGUCCAAAGUCCUCUUUUAUCCGCACGUAGCAAUUACUGCAUACCUGGCAGCAGCAGUGCAAGCUUCCCCACUCCCUGCCUGUUACCACUUCCCAGUCCCACCCAGCUGAUGUAUCUCAUCCUGGACCUUGAGGACCCCACCUCUACGUGAUGAGAGAGUAUUUUAGUCGUCUUGCCAAUUUGUUCCUUUA
ensembl:misc_RNA